CAUCCCGGGCCCGGAAAGAAUGCUGUGUAGGCACGGCCUAACCACCUAAGUGAGGGCACUGAAGCUGCCGGGGGAAGGGCAAGGGCCGCCUUGAAGAGCCCAAGCACCGUGGCACUGGAUUCGUUUUGGUAUCUUUUUCUUUACCCCAUCAUGGAGAACAGCAAAUUCAAAAGCUCUGCAAGUCAGGCAGGUUAGCAAAGAUUAAAAAAAACAAAAACUGGGGAAGAUAGAGACCAAUGCUGGCAAGAAUAUGGGGAAAGAAACAAUUUCGUGCUCAGUUGCUGGAGAAGUUGAAAGACUGGACAAGAAAGCAAGUACCAAUUACAACCUCUCUACAAGAAAUUCGCUUUAAAUAUGAAGACACCAGUUAAAGAGUCCCUUGCUGAGAGACCAAUGAUCUCUGCCCAGUGAUCAUGUGAUUUGUUUUGGCCAAUGAAAUGAGUAUAGGCUACAGAAGUCACUUCCAGGAAGAAGUUUCAAGAGUCAGCACAUGGUUCACUGGUUCUUUUUGCCCUCUGCCAAGAGAUCGGUAAUCAUCUAGACUUUGCUCUACCAGACUAGGUCCUGAAACAAGAGUCCCGGCUGUCCUGGGAUGAACACUUAGCAUGAUUGAGAAGUAAACUUUUGUUGUUGCAAACCACUGUGAUGAGAGUUCACUGAAAUUUGGAGGCCACUGAGAUUUGGAGGCCAUCCCAAACACUAAGAUUUGGGAUGGGGACAUUUGGGCAGGUAUAGAUAAGGCUAAAUUGGACAGGCAGCAACCUGACAAGUGUGUACAGGAAUGGCUUCUAAUGGUGUUGUUAGCUCAAAAAGAAUUAACUGUGAAAUUUAAUUAAAUUAACUGAUACAUUGAAUUGUAUCCUAAAAGAUACAAAAAUAGCAAAAUUUUUUCCUUGAAGUCACUUUUCAAGAUUCUCAAAUAGUUUUUAUUCGCAGACCUCUUUGAUACAGAGACACAGAAAACUAUUUGCCAAGACGUAAAUACACACAUACUUGCCUCUCUACUCUCGGCUGUGUGAUCUUUAACAUCUUACACAACAAACCUUUUUGGAUAUUGCAGCCUAGGCAAAGAAUGUCCCAUUCUAUUGUACCAGUCAAGCUAAUGGCAAGAAGCUGGGAUUUGAAAGAAAUUGAAUGAAGAGACUUUUUUAGAGUUGUGGGCAAGAGUAAGGAAUCACCCAGGGAUGCUGAGACACCCAAGAACUACCAACACCAGGAAGAUAAUAAUACCUCCUGAAAAGCCACUCUGAGGAGAAAAAGAUGUGAGAAGAAAGAAGGGGCGAGAGUCAAAUUUUUUCCUGUUCCUAUGGGAUCCCACUGACUGGAAUUUCUAAGGGUGGAAGUGGCACAGAGGAAGCCCACUUACUGCUGGAGAAGGAAGGUCGGAAUGGGGUUUGCAGCAUCCUCAUUGAGCUGGCUCAGAAGGCUUCUCUGCCCUGACCCAGCUCCAGGCACGUAGCUGUCAGGCUUGUUUGGGGUGCCUGUAUCUGGAUCUCGUUUGUGGGGAUGGACUUUCCUCAGAAAAUACAAAGAUACCAGCUUGUUCUACUGCUUCAAGCCAUUCCCUGUGGACUGCUCUUGGCCUCUGCCAUCACAGACUAUGACUAGAAAAAGAAACUUGACAGACAGAAAGAAAAACCCUUAACAGCUAGAGUUUUAAUUUGCCUACAUGGGAAAAAAUAUUUCAGUUUCUGAGAUUUCUCCUGGGUUGCCUGAUUUGGAGGUGGAAAGAGACACCAGAGGAAAAAUCACGAAAAAAAGAAACACUAUGAAAAGAGCAAAUCUUGAGAAUUGUGUUUAAUAACAGCAAUGAUGAAUUUCCUGGCAGUCUGUACUGAGCAGUUAAAGACCAACCAGCAUGUGAAGGAGGCUGAAUUAGUUAGAAUGGUCUAAAGCAGCCUAAUAAAGAGUGCCAGAAGAUUUAUUCUCUCAUAUGUAUAAUUUUGAGAUAUGAAUGAUUCUGUAUUUAAGAAAUGUGUUAUAACCAUCACGUUAAUUUUUACUAAGAUCUUCUAGUUUGACUCAAAGCAGGGUCUGAAAAAUGGAAGAACAAUGCUUUUAGCCACCAAGUUAGUGCCCCACAGAAUAUUUUAAAAUUAUUUAACACACAUCAUCUGAGUGUCAACAACUCAUCACAGAUAAACUAUCUAAUUAACAGAACCCUUCAUAGUAUUUGAUAACUGAGUCUUGGCUCAGUUUUUAUACCAGAAGGGCAAUCCUUGAUAAGCAGAAAUUAUAAAAGCAGAUUUUUAAAAGCAUUAAUUCAGGAAUAAAGUCAAAUUCGUCUCAAAUUAACCCCCUAUUGGUAUUUAAGCUUAUUUUAAGCCACUUGGCUUAAAGAUAGCACUUGGAGAGGCUGCCUUUGACCAGAGUCAGGCUUUGUCUGGACUGUCAGCCUCUAUAUUUUGAUUCCCUUUGUUGUGUACCAGCCUCCCCAAGCCCAGGGUAAUUGAUAUGGGUUCUGUGCUAGGGACAGAUGAGUUUAUCCUGUCAUUGAAGCCCUUUACAAGAUGUCUUAAUUAUUAGAGCUCAUUCGAGGAUUUGUGCUCUGUGUUCUACUUAGGAAGCUCAAUUGUUUUCUCUUUCCAAUUCCGUGUUGGCACCACUUCCAAUGAUAAGUCCAAUAAAGAAUUAGUAAUUUGGCUCCCUGUGGUCAUGGAAAAAGGACAGCAAGAAUGAGCAACAAUAAUAGUUCCUGUUGGAAUAGUAUGUUUUUAAUACAAGAAAGUUAUUACUGGUACAGUUUAGGGACAAAGACUCAUGCAAAAGUAGAGAAGGAAUUUGAAUUUCUGUGAGGAUUGUAAAUUUUGAUCCUUUGACCUCUACUAAUAAUUAAUAUUCAUUUUGCAACUAAGUGGGAAAUUCUAGUUUCCAAUGGGCAGAAUUGGGGAUGAAGGAAAAGUAAGACAUUUCCAUUAAAAAUAGUGUCCCUAUGUUUAUAAUACCAAGUGACAAGUAAGAAGAGACACAAUUAAAUUAUGGUUGUUGCAAUUAGAUAAAUCAGGUUACCAAACUCAACAGACAGAUUUGGUGGAAGUGAAGUCUUUUUGGCUAGGACUCUGCUGAUAUAUUUCUUGGGGCCUACAUGUUUAAUUAAGUCUUGCUGAAUCUCAUCCUGCGUAGUAGCUAGAACAGUGGGGGCAUCCAUACAUUAACAGGAGAAUGUACUUCUCAAGAUCCCAAACAAUAUGCACUGCCUGUUUCCAUUUUGGUGUUAUGAAUGGGUCAGGGGCAUAGACGGUUGAUACCCAAGUAUUAGUAGUAAUUGUCUCUGGGUGGUGGAACUACAAAUAAUUUUUAUUUUCCUUUUUUGUGUUUAGCUCUGUUUUCUAAAAUGAGCAUACGUUACUUCUGUGAUAAUAAAAUAAUUAUUUUCAAAGUGCCUGCUUUGUGAUAUUCCUUCAGAUGCAUACAUCCUGAUUUCCCACAUUCUGGUGGGGGAAGUCAGGAUAUACAGUGUAAACAAACUCUUAGCUAUUUCGUUCUUGUUAUUACAUUGGUUUCUGGGGUUGAUUAUUAUCUCGAUUUUACCCUAUGUCUGAAAACCAUUAUUCAGUCAGAGCAGACAGACAUGGCACAUAAUCUUGGGACCUAGGGAGAUCUUGUUUCUGAAACACAUAAAUUCAAACAGUUUAAAAACUUUUCCUCAUUUCUCUUCUUACUCACUACUACUCUUUGCUUAUAAGUAGACUGACACAGAGGAAACGGUAGCAUUGUAGUUUUUCAAUAUUACGUUAACAUCAUACAACUUAGCAAGGGGACAGAAAGAUAUAGGUUGUGUUUGUGUAGGGAUUUUCUUGACACCCAACUUGUGGAUGGGUACUUCUUGGCAAAUGGACUUUGAUAUCGCUAUUGUCAGCUUCACAGAAUGGCCCCCUUGAGUCUAAUCCCCUUGAGAGAAACUUAAUUUUCCUAGAUUAUCUCCUCGUGGUUAGGAUCAUUUUAUCUACUGAGUGAUAACUUAAUGGACAUUUGAGGAGAUUCCAUGGCCUCGUUUGGAAGCUGACUAUCAAGAACUAGUUUUUAUUUUUAGCCUAAACUUCUCAUAUUUCAUUUUUCCAUUCUUUUAAUUUCCUGCAUUUGUGUCCAGAUCACUGAACAGAGAUCAUUCAUGCACUUGCAGGCCAAUGUUAAUUGAUCCCUUAACCAUCUCUUCUCUAGGUCUAAUUUCCUUUAGAAAAUAUGGCUUCUAUUUCUUCAUAUGGCUCUUCUUUGGUCCUAUAUGGAGGCCACCAAUAUGGUAUAAUGAAUAAUCAGGUUUUUAUUUUUAAGAAGUUAAGGCAAUAAUUCUCAUUAGUCAUGGUUCAAAAUGAUGUGUGGAACCCCGUCUCUGGAAAUACUGAGUUUAUAGUUCUGGAGUAAGACAUAGCUUGCCCUUACAUUUUUUUAACAGUGUCUUCUGAACAAGAAAUUUUUAAUUUUGAUAAAUUAUAAUUUAUAAUUUUUUUUGUAGUCUGUAAUUUUUAAGUCUUAUUUAGGAAAUCUUGCCUGACCUAAGGUGCCUAAAAUUUUCUUGUGAAAACUUCAUAGUUUUAACUUUUAAAUUUGGGUCUAUGAUCCAUUUCAAGUUAAUGCUUUUACGGAGGUAAGGGUCCAGAGUUGUGGUCUUAUGUCUUUUAGAUAUUUUGCAUGUGAAUAUUCAAUUUCCAAUUGUCCUAGCACACUGAGAAUCAAUUUCCUACAUUGAAUUGCCUUAGCACCUUUGUCAAAUAUCAACAGAUCAUACUAUAUGUGUUGGUCCAUUUCUGGACUUCUAUUCUGUUCCAUUGAUCUAUAUAUUAAUUUUUAUACCAAUAUCUUGAUUAUGGUAGCUUUAUUAUAAUUCUUAAAAUCAGGUAAGUGUAAGUCCUCUAACUUUUUUGUUUUCAAAAUUGUUUUGAACAUUCUAGGUCCUUAGCAUUUUGAAUAUAUUUUACAAU